rnacentral:misc_RNA from 1 species
CGGUUGCCUGUGCGGUCUUACCAUUGUUGGUAGCAAAAUUGUCCAUCUUUUUUGUUAUGCUUGAUCCAUUGAUGCUAUGCAUGGAUGGGCGGCCGAGGCGUUGGCAAAUUCCAUGUGCUACGAUGCACUUUGUGCAUUGGAAUUGCUUAUCGGAUGUUUGCCGGGUCUCACGGAUUUCAGUCCCUACGUUGAGCGGUCUGCGGGCUUCAAGCGUGCAGGCUCAUGGUGUUGCCCGUACACAAAUUUGUUGCUGAUGGUUACUUGACAUGUUGUGUUCCUUCGGGAUUCAUGUCGAUGAAACAUCGGUAACAAAUUUGUGUGCAUGUGCAUAUCCUUAUCGACCCGAAUGAUACGCGAUUGCCGGUAUGCAUUGUCACGGGGCG